UACGUAGGGUGCGAGCGUUUAAUCGGAAUUACUGGGCGUAAAGCGUGCGCAGGCGGUUUUGUAAGUCUGUCGUGAAAUCCCCGGGCUUAACCUGGGAACUGCAUUUGUGACUGGCGGGCUAGAGUAUGGCAGAGGGGGGUAGAAUUCCGACGUGUAGCAGUGAAAUGCGUAGAGAUGUGGAGGAAUACCGAUGGCGAAGGCAGCCCCCUGGGCCAAUACUGACGCUCAUGCACGAAAGCGUGGGGAGCAAACAGG
rnacentral:rRNA from 1 species